ACUCCUACGGGAGGCAGCAGUGGGGAAUCUUGGACAAUGGGCGCAAGCCUGAUCCAGCAAUGCCGCGUGUGGGAUGAAGGCCUUCGGGUUGUAAACCACUUUUGGCGGGGGCGAAAUAUCGAGUGCUAAUACCAUUCGGUGAUGACGGUACCCGCAGAAUAAGCACCGGCUAACUACGUGCCAGCAGCCGCGGUAAUACGUAGGGUGCGAGCGUUAAUCGGAAUUACUGGGCGUAAAGCGUGCGCAGGCGGUUUGGUAAGACAGAUGUGAAAUUCCCGGGCUCAACCUGGGAACUGCAUUUGUGACUGCCUAACUAGAGUGCGGCAGAGGGGAGUGGAAUUCCGCGUGUAGCAGUGAAAUGCGUAGAUAUGCGGAGGAACACCGAUGGCGAAGGCAACUCCCUGGGCCUGCACUGACGCUCAUGCACGAAAGCGUGGGGAGCAAACAGGAUUAGAUACCCUG
rnacentral:rRNA from 1 species